CGCGUAGGCGGCUAGGCAAGUCAAAGGUGAAAUCCCUCGGCUCAACCGAGGAACUGCCUCUGAUACUGCCUGGCUUGAGUCCCGGAGAGGGUGGCGGAAUUCCCAGUGUAGCGGUGAAAUGCGUAGAUAUUGGGAGGAACACCUGUGGCGAAGGCGGCCACCUGGACGGGUACUGACGCUGAGGCGCGAAAGCGUGGGGAGCAAACAGGAUUAGAUACCCUGGUAGUCC
rnacentral:rRNA from 1 species